GAUGAACGCUGGCGGCGUGCUUAACACAUGCAAGUCGAACGGAAAGGCUCCUGCUUGCAGGGGUACUCGAGUGGCGAACGGGUGAGUAACACGUGGGUGAUCUGCCCUGCACUUCGGGAUAAGCCUGGGAAACUGGGUCUAAUACCGGAUAGGACGAUGGUUUGGAUGCCAUUGUGGAAAGUUUUUCGGUGUGGGAUGAGCUCGCGGCCUAUCAGCUUGUUGGUGGGGUAAUGGCCUACCAAGGCGUCGACGGGUAGCCGGCCUGAGAGGGUGUACGGCCACAUUGGGACUGAGAUACGGCCCAGACUCCUACGGGAGGCCGCAGUGGGGAAUAUUGCACCAUGGGCGCAAGCCUGAUGCAGCGACGCCGCGUGGGGGAUGACGGCCUUCGGGUUGUAAACUCCUUUCGCUAGGGACGAAGCGCAAGUGACGGUACCUGGAGAAGAAGCACCGGCUAACUACGUG
rnacentral:rRNA from 1 species